UACGUAGGGUGCAAGCGUUAAUCGGAAUUACUGGGCGUAAAGCGUGCGCAGGCGGUUUUGUAAGACAGGUGUGAAAGCCCCGAGCUUAACUUGGGAAUUGCGCUUGUGACUGGCGAGCUGGAGUGUGGCAGAGGGAGGUGGAAUUCCACGUGUAGCAGUGAAAUGCGUAGAGAUGUGGAGGAACACCGAUGGCGAAGGCAGCCUCCUGGGCCAGCACUGACGCUCAUGCACGAAAGCGUGGGGAGCAAACAGG
rnacentral:rRNA from 1 species